UCCCUGGUGGCUCAGAUGGUAAAGAAUCUGCCUGCAAUGCAGGAGACCCGGGUUCAAUCCCUGGUCAGGAAG
rnacentral:tRNA from 1 species